rnacentral:rRNA from 1 species
AUUGAACGCUGGCGGAAUGCUUUACACAUGCAAGUCGAGCGGCAGCGCGGGGCAACCUGGCGGCGAGCGGCGAGCGGGUGAGUAAUACAUCGGAACGUACCCCGUUGUGGGGGAUAGCCCGGCGAAAGCCGGAUUAAUACCGCAUACGGCCUGAGGGUGAAAGAGGGGGAUCGCAAGACCUCUCGCAGUUGGAGCGGCCGAUGGCGGAUUAGCUAGUUGGUGGGGUAAAGGCCUACCAAGGCGACGAUCCGUAGCGGGUCUGAGAGGACGACCCGCCACACUGGAACUGAGACACGGUCCAGACUCCUACGGGAGGCAGCAGUGGGGAAUUUUGGACAAUGGGGGCAACCCUGAUCCAGCCAUUCCGCGUGAGUGAAGAAGGCCUUCGGGUUGUAAAGCUCUUUCGGCAGGAACGAAACGGUCUUUUCUAAUACAAGAGGCUAAUGACGGUACCUGAAGAAGAAGCACCGGCUAACUACGUGCCAGCCGCCGCCGUAA